UAACCUGCCCAAGAGAUCGGGAUAACACCUGGAAACAGAUGCUAAUACCGGAUAACAACAUAUGAUGCCUAUCAACUGUUUAAAAGAUGGUUCUGCUAUCACUCUUGGAUGGACCUGCGGUGCAUUAGCUAGUUGGUAAGGUAACGGCUUACCAAGGCAAUGAUGCAUAGCCGAGUUGAGAGACUGAUCGGCCACAUUGGGACUGAGACACGGCCCAAACUCCUACGGGAGGCAGCAGCC
rnacentral:rRNA from 1 species